rnacentral:rRNA from 1 species
GGUAACGGCUCACCUAGGCGACGAUCCCUAGCUGGUCUGAGAGGAUGACCAGCCACACUGGAACUGAGACACGGUCCAGACUCCUACGGGAGGCAGCAUG